rnacentral:rRNA from 1 species
UACGGAGGGUGCAAGCGUUAUCCGGAUUUACUGGGUUUAAAGGGUGUGUAGGCGGGCUUUUAAGUCAGUGGUGAAAUCUCCGGGCUCAACCUGGAAACUGCCAUUGAUACUAUUAGUCUUGAAUUCUGUUGAGGUAGGCGGAAUAAGUCAUGUAGCGGUGAAAUGCAUAGAUAUGACUUAGAACACCAAUUGCGAAGGCAGCUUACUAAGCAGAUAUUGACGCUGAGGCACGAAAGCGUGGGGAGCAAACAGG